GAUGAACGCUGGCGGCGUGCCUAAUACAUGCAAGUCAAGCGAACAGACGAGGAGCUUGCUCCUCUGAUGUUAGCGGCGGACGGGUGAGUAACACGUGGAUAACCUACCUAUAAGACUGGGAUAACUUCGGGAAACCGGAGCUAAUACCGGAUAACAUGUUGAACCGCAUGGUUCAACAGUGAAAGACGGUCUUGCUGUCACUUAUAGAUGGAACCGCGCCGCAUUAGCUAGUUGGUAAGGUAACGGCUUACCAAGGCAACGAUGCGUAGCCGACCUGAGAGGGUGAUCGGCCACACUGGAACUGAGACACGGUCCAGACUCCUACGGGAGGCAGCAGUAGGGAAUCUUCCGCAAUGGGCGAAAGCCUGACGGAGCAACGCCGCGUGAGUGAAGAAGGUCUUCGGAUCGUAAAACUCUGUUAUUAGGGAAGAACAAAUGUGUAAGUAACUAUGCACGUCUUGACGGUACCUAAUCAGAAAGCCACGGCUAACUACGUG
rnacentral:rRNA from 1 species